UUACCAGACUCCUACGGGAGGCAGCAGUGAGGGAUAUUGGGCAAUGGGGGAAACCCUGACCCAGCGACGCCGCGUGAGGGAAGACGGUCUUCGGAUUGUAAACCUCUGUCUUUGGGGACGAAAAAGGACGGUACCCAAGGAGGAAGCUCCGGCUAACUACGUGCCAGCAGCCGCGGUAAUACGUAGGGAGCGAGCGUUGUCCGGAAUUACUGGGUGUAAAGGGAGCGUAGACGGCCAUGCAAGCCUGGAGUGAAAGCCCGGGGCCCAACCCCGGGACUGCUCUGGGAACUGUGCGGCUGGAGUGCGGGAGGGGCAGGCGGAAUUCCUGGUGUAGCGGUGAAAUGCGUAGAUAUCAGGAGGAACACCGGCGGCGAAGGCGGCCUGCUGGACUGCAACUGACGUUGAGGCCCGAAAGCGUGGGGAGCAAACAGGAUUAGAUACCCGGGUAA
rnacentral:rRNA from 1 species